GGUGACCUAAAUGAAAUUCAGUUUCUUCAUGAGAAGGAGGGCGGAAACCCUCGCCCUACUCAGUACAUGCAAGCUUUUCAGGGGGUUAUUGAUGACUGUGAGCUACACGAUCUUGGUUACAUCGGAGGUCGGUUUACUUGGCACCAUGGAAGGAUUCGAGAAUGGCUAGAUAGAGGCCUAGUAAAUGAGGCAUGGGCAGAUUUGUUUCCUCACGCGGCUCUUGAAAAUUUGGAGUAUAAUCACUCGGAUCACCGACCACUACUAGUAAACACUUGA
rnacentral:rRNA from 1 species